GUUUUAGGGAGGGUGAGUGGCCUGGAGCAUGGGUGUUGUGUGCGGAGCUGUGGUGUCGCGUGGGAGGCGCGUGCUGGCUGAGUGUGAGUGGACGCGUGAGUGUGUGAGUGUGCGCGCUUGGAGCGUGUUAGGCGAGUGCGUGCGCCCACCCCUGCGCCCCUCCUCCCGCUUACACUUUGAUCUUAUUUGAUCGGGUCGUGACCCUAGUCCCGCCGGUCCGACCCGAAAUGAAAAGCUCUCCUCCUGCGAAGCCCCCCACUCGAGGCGCCUGUGCAGAGAGGCCCCUUAGGCGGCGGCAACGCUGCGGUCCCCGAGGUCCUGGAGCUGGCCCUGCGGGGCCCGGCGCUCAGAAGUGAUGAAUUGAUCAGAUAGACGAGGCCGGGCUUGUCCCGGGCCAGUGAUUAUCGAGGCGAUUCUGAUCUGG
ensembl:scaRNA